rnacentral:rRNA from 1 species
AACGAACGCUGGCGGCAUGCCUAACACAUGCAAGUCGAACGAAGCCUUCGGGCUUAGUGGCGCACGGGUGCGUAACGCGUGGGAAUCUGCCCUUGGGUUCGGAAUAACAGUUAGAAAUGACUGCUAAUACCGGAUGAUGUCUUCGGACCAAAGAUUUAUCGACCAAGGAUGAGCCCGCGUAGGAUUAGGUAGUUGGUGGGGUAAUGGACCACCAAGCCGACGAUCCUUAGCUGGUCUGAGAGGAUGAUCAGCCACACUGGGACUGAGACACGGCCCAGACUCGUACGGGAGGCAGCAGUGGGGAAUAUUGGACAAUGGACGAAAGCCUGAUCCAGCAAUGCCGCGUGAGUGAUGAAGGCCUUAGGGUUGUAAAGCUCUUUUACCAGGGAUGAUAAUGACAGUACCUGGAGAAUAAGCUCCGGCUAACUCCGUGCCAGCCGCCGCGGUAA